rnacentral:rRNA from 1 species
GACGAACCGUGCGAACGUUGUUCGGAUUCACUGGGCUUAAAGGGCGCGUAGGCGGGCGGCCAAGUCAGGGGUGAAAUCUUUCGGCCCAACCGGAAAAGUGCCCCUGAUACUGGCGGCCUCGAGGGGGGUAGGGGCAUGCGGAACUUCCGGUGGAGCGGUGAAAUGCGUAGAUAUCGGAAGGAACGCCGGUGGCGAAGGCAGGUCUCUGGGCAUUAACUGACGCUGAGGAGCGAAAGCAUGGGGAGCGAACAGG